UGUCGUCAGCUCGUGUCGUGAGAUGUUGGGUUAAGUCCCGCAACGAGCGCAACCCUUAUUAUCAGUUGCCAGCAUUCAGUUGGGCACUCUGGUGAGACUGCCGGUGACAAACCGGAGGAAGGUGGGGAUGACGUCAAAUCAUCAUGCCCCUUAUGACCUGGGCUACACACGUGCUACAAUGGACGGUACAACGAGUUGCGAAGUCGUGAGGCCAAGCUAAUCUCUUAAAGCCGUUCUCAGUUCGGAUUGUGGGCUGCAACUCGCCUACAUGAAGUUGGAAUCGCUAGUAAUCGCGGAUCAGCAUGCCGCGGUGAAUACGUUCCCGGG
rnacentral:rRNA from 1 species